rnacentral:tRNA from 1 species
GGAGAAAUGGCAGAGUUGGUUUAAUGCAUCUGACUUGAAAUCAGACGAACUAUAUAUUAUAGUUAUAACAGUUCCGUGGGUUCAAAUCCCGCUUUCUCCUA